UAUGUAGGGUGCGAGCGUUGUCCGGAUUUAUUGGGCGUAAAGAGCUCGUAGGCGGUUUGUCGCGUCGGCCGUGAAAUCUCCACGCUUAACGUGGAGCGUGCGGUCGAUACGGGCAGACUUGAGUUCGGUAGGGGAGACUGGAAUUCCUGGUGUAGCGGUGAAAUGCGCAGAUAUCAGGAGGAACACCGGUGGCGAAGGCGGGUCUCUGGGCCGAUACUGACGCUGAGGAGCGAAAGCGUGGGGAGCGAACAGG
rnacentral:rRNA from 1 species